CAAUCAAGCUCCUGCAUAACACUUGAGAAAAAGACUGAGACUGUCCUACCUUCCAGGAAAAGCACGAAACGAGAGUUAACAAAGGAAGAAAUACAAAAGAGACGAAAAGGGGAUGCAUGCUUUUAUUGUGGUGAAAAAGGGCACAGAAUCUCAUUAUGUCCAAGAAAACCUCCUAAACCUACUGUAACCACUGAACCUCAGAUACAGACCACAGAAACAAACUCUCC